CCGGAGGUCCCGGGGACCUGGAGGCUGGCAGCCUGGAAGGGGGUGAUGUUGCCAGGAGAACUCACUGUAGAUGAAAGUCUGGGCGAGGGGCCAGGCGGAUAGCCCUCCAGUGAGACCCGCCCACCUCACCCUGGGCUUAGGAGGCACGAUGGCUGUGUCGCCUGCAGACCUGACCCAGGGCUGCCAGAAGCUUUGUCACAUGCCCCUGCCCCUCUCCCGGCCUCCCACGGGGGAUGCUGGAGUCGAUCUGGGCUGCUUCAGCAAGUAGGCUUGUCCCACAGUCUUCAGGGUCAGCCUGGUGGAUCAAGGCUGGCAGGGUCUGCCCUCGGAAGACUUGAGGUCUUACAUCUGGUCCACGAGCUUCCCUCCCUCUCGCACAGAACCACCAGAAGCGUGAUGCGGAGGGGGCAUCAAAUCCAGAAGCUCAUGCUGUUAACGGGGGCCAGCCAGGUCACGUGGACGGCCGUCCCAGAAGAAGCACAUCAUUCCGAAGUGGUGUGUUGAGGGAGAGGCAUGGCUGGGCUUGCAAGAGGCCUGAACGUUUUCCGUUUAAACUGAAGAGGUCAAGCUCACACAGAUGGGGUGUGUUCCUCUCACCUCCUGGGACACGUGCCCCUUCUUAAUUACCCGGGCAGGCCUGCUGUCCAGUCCUCACCUCCUGGGACAGCAUGGGUGGAGGUGGCCCUGGCCUGCCCUCUCUCCCUGCGCUGCUCUCUCCAAGCCUUGCAGUGUGCACACCCCAGCCUACAUGGCCACGCUCACCCCCACACCCCCACACUGCACCCCCUGCCUGCCUGAUGCCCUGCUCUGGAUGUGUGCCCCAGGGGACAGAGCCACAGCUCAUCUGCCUCGUUUAGAACCUUCCAUCACCAUCAGGAUGAAACUCAGACCCACCAUCUGCCCUGCUCCCAGAAAGGACAUGCUGUGCCAACAGCUCCUUUAGUAGGGCUGUGUGGACUGGAUCCAACCAGCACCUCAGCAGCGGCCCAGCCCACUCCCAGACCCACCCUUAGACUGUGGCUGAAUCCUCAGCACUCUCCACAGUCCAGAGACAAGACCUCAGUUUCAUAGAGGGUGCUCGAAACAUUACAGACUGGAAGAGCCAUAAAGAUCUUGACCAGCAGACACAGGCUGCCAGCAGGUGCCAAGGAUGAGAAGCGUCUAACGAAGACUUGGAAGAGCUGUUGUAAAGAUGCUCAAAUAAUAAAACAGCCAGUUGUUACCGGCAACGUGGGUUUAUUCGGGAACAGGAAAGAACUGGAAUGUAAGACGAGCAAACUAAGGUGAACCACAAAGUGCAGAGAACAAGAGAGAGAAAGCUCUGUCACAGAGGAGAAGGGCUGUUCUAAACAGAGAGCCCACUGGAGGAAGCCGGGAGCCGGGAGUGUGGCGGCUUUCCAUUGGUCGCACUGUGACGGCCUCUCAUUGGCUGAGCUGUUGCCGGGCGGGGAGAAAAUCUCCCUCCUGCUUGGGGCGCAGGUCGGCACCUUCCCGUGGGGUCUGCGAUCCAGGCUGCGCCGCAGGCCCUCGGGACUUCCCGGGCGGCGCUGGUGGUAGAGAGUGCGCCUUCCGGUGUAGGAGACCUGGGUUUGCUCCCUGGGCGGGAAGAUCAAGGUCCCCGUCCCGGUUCUCCUGCCUGGAGAGUCCACGGACCGAGAGCGGGCGCCGGUCCGGGGGUCUCCCAAGGGUUGGGCGUGACUGAGACCGACCCUCGGCAGAGCUGAGAGCGCCCCCUUCUGGCUUCGCGUUAAACAAGGUUUCUGCUUACUAAUUUUCAUGUUUCCCCUCUUUGGUGAAGAUUUUUCUCUAAAAGCCUUGCUUAUCAACACGUUUUUAAUGGAUUCAGUGGCUUUUUGUCAGUCAGUGCCAGGGGGGACCUUUCCUGGAUAUCAUGUCCCUCUUGGAAGAGAGAUUGGAAGACUCUGGAGGGCACAUUCCAGUAACAGGAGGGGUAGGCCAGAGCUCUCAGGGAUUUCCCUUCUGCAGUCUGUCUUAGAACAGCGAAAGCAGCGAGGACACGCUAGACACAGAGAGAAGUAAGCACU